rnacentral:lncRNA from 12 species
GGCACUGUCUCGUCAGAUAAUGGACUAGGCUGUAUUUAACAUAUGCAUCUCUGUAUAAUCUAGGAAUAAAAAAAGAAGGAAAAGAAAAAAAGAAGGAAAAGAGAAAGGGAGGAAGAAAAGAAGGAGUAAAGAAAAAGAAGGAGAAGGAGAGAGGGAAAAGAAAUUGUGGACAACUUCAUGAAUCUCUUAUGCCAAUGUGAAAAUCAUUAAGGUAAAAAAAAAAAAGAAAAUCAUUAAGUGUUUUUGGAUGGAGAAUAGACCAAGUUGCACAAUACUCAUAUAAGCCUGGAUACUUUGCAAAGAUACUGGAAGUGUAGUAAGCACAUGGAACGUCAAGAUGUAUGGCACAUGGAAUGUCAAGAUGAGUAAACCACGUCUUUGUCCUCAGAGAGUUCACAGGAUGGGAUCAGUGCUCACCUGGAAAGAAAGUGCAAUACAUUUACCAAUCAGCUAUGCUUCUGGGGAAAGGGGCUAAAUCUGUGAAGUCACUGGGGCAUGCCAGACAUUGAUUUUUGCAAACUAUACUUGCUAGUCACUAGAACGUCUCAUGGAAGUUUAAUUUUCUUUUGGAG